CGACCCUCAUGGGUCACCUAGCCAACUGACGUUGUUAGUGAAUAAAGUUAUUCACAUUCUGACAGCCAAUAGAUUAUCUUUCUAUUGGCUAUUUUUUU
rnacentral:sRNA from 1 species